GGGUCUGCAGAGGGAAAUGAAACAGUUGUGUGUGCCAUAGUUAUUCCUCAUUAAACUGUUUGCAAACAAGUUGUUUGUUCAAUCUGCCCUGGAGUACAUGUUUGAGGAUAAAAUGCUACUGGCGAACCAGCUACCACAAUUAUAAAGGGCCAUAAGAAGAUGCUUUGCAGCAUAGAGCUGAUCAUGGGCAGUUUACCAUAAGGGUAAACCAGACCAAAGAACUUCAGCCAAUAUUUUGCAUUCUGUUUCAGUUUCCUGAAGUGUUGCGUCAAAGAAGAGAUACAGAGGGCCUACCUAUCCAGGUAGAGGAUGUAUAGCACUGAGCUGGGACUCACAAGACUUGGCCUCCUUCACUAGCUUCUUGAGGUAAAUCAUUUUGACAUGCUUG
rnacentral:lncRNA from 1 species